GACAGAGGGUGCAAACGUUGUUCGGAAUUACUGGGCGUAAAGAGCGCGCAGGCGGUUGUGCAAGUCGCGUGUGAAAGCCCCCGGCUCAACUGGGGAGGGUCACGCGAUACUGUUCGACUUGAAGGCAGGAGAGGGAAGUGGAAUUCCCGGUGUAGUGGUGAAAUGCGUAGAUAUCGGGAAGAACACCAAUGGCGAAAGCAGCUCUCUGGGACGGUACUGACGCUGAGACGCGAAAGCGUGGGGAGCGAACAGG
rnacentral:rRNA from 1 species